UACGAAGGGGGCUAGCGUUGCUCGGAAUUACUGGGCGUAAAGGGAGCGUAGGCGGACAUUUAAGUCAGAGGUGAAGUCCCGGAGCUUAACUUCGGAACUGCCUUUGAUACUGGGUGUCUUGAGUGUGAGAGAGGUAUGUGGAACUCCGAGUGUAGAGGUGAAAUUCGUAGAUAUUCGGGAGAACACCAGUGGCGAAGGCGACAUACUGGCUCAUUACUGACGCUGAGGCUCGAAAGCGUGGGGAGCAAACAGG
rnacentral:rRNA from 1 species